rnacentral:lncRNA from 1 species
UUUAUUUCACAUUCUAAAUAAAGGCAACAGUAGUAUACCGCUGUUCAAAACUCAUAAAUCCAUGGACAAAAAACAAAAUCGGGGUAACAAACCAAAACCGAGCGAAACGCAUUAAAUAUAAGAGGAGAACAACGACACAACACCGAAACGCAACACACACAGAAACGGACCAAUCAUCAGACAAAACACCACGAGAAUAACAAAUGUAACAUGAAAACCAAAUACAUGAAUUUGGGAUAGACAAGUACCGUGCCACGUCUUAUCUCAAUAUCUCAAAAAUAAGAGAAAACACAAACGACUCAACGUUUAAAAUGCAACACAAAGAGAAACGAACAAUAUUAUAACAAUGACCAUCUUCCUGACUUGGUACAGGACACUUUUAAAGGUGAAAAAAAGUGGUGGGUUGAACCUGGUUUUAAGGCAUGCCAAACCUCGCACUUUAAUGGCAAAGUUAAAUAUAACAUUGAAAUGACAACAUAAUAUUACAGGACUACAAUACAAAUAAAUAGGAGAACAUAAUAGACACAGAAAAACAUGAUUAAUAGAUAACAAAAAGCAUCAGGUUUAAAAUUCAAUACGCCAAAAACGCGCCUUGUCCACACAAGACUCACCAGUGACUUCCAGAUAUAAAAGAUCGAAAGUGAAAAAAGUACAAAGUUGUACAGCACUGAAGAUCAAAAGUUGAAAAGGUUUCGCAAAAUACGGCAUUGUUUUUAUGCCCGGG